rnacentral:tRNA from 1 species
AGCGGCGUGGCUCAGUGGAAAGAGCCCGGGCUUGGGAGUCGGGGGGUCGUGGGUUCGAAUCCCGGCUUCCGCCA